rnacentral:rRNA from 1 species
AGCGAACGCUGGCGGCAGGCCUAACACAUGCAAGUCGAACGAACUCUUCGGAGUUAGUGGCGGACGGGUGUGUAACACGUGGGAACGUGCCUUUUGGUUCGGAAUAACUCAGGGAAACUUGUGCUAAUACCGAAUGUGCUCUUCGGGGGAAAGAUUUAUCGCCAUUAGAGCGGCCCGCGUCUGAUUAGCUAGUUGGUGAGGUAACGGCUCACCAAGGCGACGAUCAGUAGCUGGUCUGAGAGAAUGACCAGCCACACUGGGACUGAGACACGGCCCAGACUCCUACGGAAGGCAGCAGUGGGGAAUCUUGCGCAAUGGGGGAAAGCCUGACGCAGCCAUGCCGGGUGAAUGAUGAAGGUCUUAGGAUUGUAAAAUUCUUUCACCGGGGACGAUAAUGACGGUACCCGGAGAAGAAGCCCCGGCUAACUUCGUG